CCUACGGGAGGCAGCAGUGAGGAAUCUUGGUCAAUGGUCGGGAGACUGAACCAGCCAAGCCGCGUGAGGGAUGAAGGUACAGAGUAUCGUAAACCUCUUUUGUCAGGGAACAAAGGCGGGGACGUGUCCCCGGAUGAGUGUACCUGAAGAAAAAGCAUCGGCUAACUCCGUGCCAGCAGCCGCGGUAAUACGGAGGAUGCGAGCUUUAUCCGGAUUUAUUGGGUUUAAAGGGUGCGCAGGCGAGCUGUUAAGUCAGCGGUCAAAGCCCGGGGAUCAACCCCGGCCCGCCGUUGAAACUGGCAGUCUAGAGUAGGAGAGAAGUAUGCGGAAUGCGCGGUGUAGCGGUGAAAUGCAUAGAUAUCGCGCAGAACUCCGAUUGCGAAGGCAGCAUGCCGGCUCCACACUGACGCUGAGGCACGAAAGCGUGGGUAUCGAACAGGAUUAGAUACCCUUGUAGUC
rnacentral:rRNA from 1 species